rnacentral:lncRNA from 14 species
AAUAAUAGUUAUCUAUUGCUAAACCUGGGUACUGCCUAAUGACUGGCACAGAGUUGGGAAUGCCAAGUUAAACCAGGAACACUUUUCCUGUUAGUCUUCCACACUGGUCUUGCUGAUACAAAAGGUGCACAUUGUGGGACUCUGUAUCCUCUAUAACUGUCUUCUCUGAGAUGUCCUUGCAGUAUCCCAUUGUUAGCUGUCCUUCAGCUGGAGGAAAGUGGUUAUGUAUCUUUGCAUGUUGAGGUCUUGUCUUCUUUUGCUACCCAGAACCUUUUAUCAUAGGUGUAAGUGCUGCCGGACGGAUGCUUUGCUGUGUGCUGCCAUCUAACUUCUGAGCUCCCUGUAGUGGAAGCUCUUCCAACAGCCUGCAUUUGGGGUAGCUUGGGAGCAAGGGAAUAGGGAACUACAGAAAUGGAAUGAAGCAGCUGAUACUCAGCUAACCGCACGAGGAACUGGUCAUGGCUCUGGUGCUCACUUCACUGAAGCUUCCAGACCUGAGGAAUAACCAUCAUUGCUGCUUGUGCCGCACUUGUAAAAGGACUUUCAAGAACUGCCCCAGGACAGCUCCAUCGAUGUUCAUUUCCUCUCCCUGUGAAGUGCUUAUCUGUGGCUAGACACGAGCAGCUGGAUGGAGAUGGAGUGAAAGCUGGAAAAGCUGGAGGCAUCGCUCUUGUCUGAGGAAGCAGCAGCCAAGAGCCAUUUGCCUGCAGGCUGGAUUGUGGCCGGAGCUGCUCCAUGCAGGUGUGUGAUCCCCUCCUUGCAGCUGGGUGAUGAGCAGGAUGGG